rnacentral:rRNA from 1 species
CCUGGCUGCUACCGGAAUGAUACUAAGCCAUGCGAGUCAUUGUAGCAAUACAAGGCAGACGGCUCAGUAACACGUAGUCAACCUACCCUAUGGACGGGGAUAACCUCGGGAAACUGAGUAUAAUSCCCGAUAGAACAUUAUGCCUGGAAYGGUUUAUGGUCCAAAUGAUUUAUCGCCGUAGGAUGGGACUGCGGCCUAUCAGUUUGUUGGUGAGGUAAUGGCCCACCAAGDCUAUUACAGGUACGGGCUCUGAGAGGAGARGCCCGGAGAUGGGUACUGAGACACGGACCCAGGCCCUAUGGGGCGCAGCAGGCGAGAAAMCUUUGCAAUGUGCGAAAGCACGACAAGGUUAAUCCGAGUGUUUYCUGCUAAAGGAAYCUUUUGUUAGUCCUAAAAACACUAUCGAAUAAGGGGUGGGCAAGUUCUGGUGUCAGCCGCCGCGGUAACACCA